rnacentral:lncRNA from 1 species
CUCUCCUGAGUCUGCCGUGUUUUAGUUUUGUGAUCUUACAACCAUGUUUAAGUCUAAAAAUAAGAGUUAGAAGUAGGACUGGCACAUGUCACUAUAUUUAAUUUAAUGAACUCUAACAGGAUUUUUGUUUCUAAACCCAGGACAUUGAGAUCUGCUGAUUGGAGAUCUUAGUGCCCAAGGAAGAAUGCUUGCAAAAGGAGAUGGAACAGUGUUUCUGUUGCAUUGGCCACUGAGAAUAUCUGGUUAUUUUGAAUUUGUCACAGUCUGCAGCUAAAAGGUGAACAGGAAAAGAAGAGAGAGCGGUAAUUUGAAUGAUAGCAGAUUUCACAUCAGGAACCAAUGAAGCUAGAUAAGAAUGCAACAUCUUUGAUGUCUAAAAGAAACAAAAAGCCAACCUUGAAUUCUUUAUUUAGUGAAGUUACCCUUCAGAAAUGACGGCAAAAUAAAGAUGUUUUCCAAUAAAAGACAACUAUGAGAAUUCUUCACCAGCAGUCCUAUUGUAUCAGAACAGCCAAAAGAAGUUUGUCAGCCUACAGGGAAUUAUAUCAAAGGGAAGACUUGACCUUGAAAAUGAAUGAGGAAUAUAAGAAAUUGAUAUUAUCUGGGAAUUCACUGAAUGUCUAUCUAUCAUGUAUGCUGUUGGAGGCACCUGUCUUUCAGUUCAGAGGUUAUGGAUGUAUCUAUCAUCAGUAUUUCGGGAAGUCAGGGACCCCGAACAGAUGGACUUAAUGAAGCUGUGGCAGAAGAACAAAUUGUGAAGAUUUCAUGGACAUUUAUUAGUUCCCCAAAUUAAUACUUUUAUAAUUUCUUACACCUGUCUUUACUGCACUCUCUGAACAUAAAUUGUGAAGAUUUCAUGGACAGUUAUCACUUCCCCAGUCAACACGCUUAUAAUUUCCUAUGCCUGUCUUUACUUUAAUCUCUUAAUCCCAUCAUCUUUGUAAGCUGAAGAUGUAUGUCCCUCAGGACCCUGUGAUGAUUGCGCUAUCUGCACAAAUUGUUUGUAAAGCAUAUGUUUUUGAACAGUAUGAAAUCUGGGCAUCUAGAAAAGGAACAGGAUAACAACGAUUUUCAGGGAACAAGGGAAAUAACCAUUAGGUCUGACUGCCGGGGAGCCGGGCAGGACCAAGUCAUAUUUCUCUUAUUGUCAAAAACGGGUAAGAGAAAUAUUGCUGAAUUCUUUCCCCAGUAAGGAAUAUUAAUAAUUAACAACCCUGGGAAAAGAAUGCAUUCCUGGGGGGAGGCCUCUAAAAUGGCCGCUCUGGGAAUGUCUGCCUUAUGCAGUUGUAGAUAGGGAUGAAACAUGCCCUGGUCUCCUGCAGCGCCCCCAGGCUUGCUAGGAUUAGGAAAUCCAGACUGGUGAAUUUUAGACAGACUGGUUGCCUGCUCUCAAACCCUAUCUUCUGAAAAGAUAUUAUCAAUGACAAUGUGUGCCCGGUGGUACAUGAGACUUCCUCAGCAAUUCUAAUUUUGCCCUGAUCAUGUGAUCUCACUCUGCCCCCAUCUGCCUUGUGAUAUUUUAUUGCCCUUGAAGCAUGUGAUCUCUGUGACCCACACCCUAUUCGUACACCCCUCCCCUUUUGAAAUCCAUAAUAAAAUCUUGCUAGUUUUGUGGCUGAAGGGGCAUCACAGAACCUGCCGACAUGUGAUGUCUCCCCCAGACACCUAGCUGUAAAAUUUCUCUCUUUUGUACUCUUUCCCUUUAUUUCUUAGACCAGCUGACACUUAGGGAAAAUAGAAAAGAAACUAUGUUGAAAUAUUGGGGGCUGGUUCCCCCAAUACAUUUCGACCUUGGAGAAUCUGAUGAUUUUGUGCCUGAUGGUUUUCUUUUGUAGUAUCUUGUUGGGGUUCUCUGCAUUUCCUGAUUUGAAUGUUGGCCUCUAGGUUGGGAGAAUUUUCAUGGAUGAUAUCCUUAAACAUGUUUUCCAAGUUGCUUACUUUCUCUCCCUCUCUUUCAAGGAUUCAAAUGAGACAUAGAUUUGUUCUCUUUACAUAAUCCCGUAUUUCUUGGAGGUUUUGUUCAUUCUUUUUUAUUCUUUUUUAUUUUUAUCUGACUGUGUUAGUUUGGAGAACCUGUCUUCAAGUGCUGAGAUUCUUUCCUCAGCUUGGUCUAUUCUGUCGUUAAUACUAGCAAUUGCAUUAUGAAAUUCUUGUUGUGUGUUUUUCAGCUCUAUCAGGUCAGUUUGGUUCUUUCUUAUACCAACCAUUUUAUCUUUUAGUUCCUGUAUCAUUUUAUUGUAAUCUUUAGAUUCCUUGGAUUGGGUUUCAACUUUCUGCUGAAUCUUGAUGAUCUUCAUUCUUAUCCAUAUUCUGAAAUAUAUUUUUGUCAUUUCAGCCAUUUCAGCCUGGUUAAGAAGGCUUUCUGGGGAAUUAGUGUAGUCAUAUGGGGGAAAGAAAACACUGUGGCUUUUUGAAUUGCAGAGUUUCUGUGUGGGUUCUUUGUUAUUGUGUGAGCUGAUGGUCCUUUAACUGCAGUGUACAGUGAGGUGACUUCUUUUCUUGAUGUUUUCAGAAGGCUGAGACUUUGUGCAAAGUCUUUAGUUGUUGCUGAGUUCUUCUUCUUGGUUUCACAAGGGGGUAUAUUAGCAAAAUAUUUUGAUGUUGAAGUUUGGGCUGUGAUCUAGUAGAUGGUUCUUAAGCAUAAUGAACUGUACAUAGUCUCUUGCUCAGCCAUGUGACUCCUCUGUAUUUCCUCACAAUUGCAGCCUGCUUUCUCUCAGGGCCUGGAAAGUGUGGGCUCCUCUCCCACUCGAGUGCUGGCUGCAGAUCUUGGCUUGGCAAUCCCGAACUGUACACCACUGUCCUGGGGUGAACUCAGCUUUUUAGGCUUUAUUUUCCUUCCCCAGCUUGUAAGCAAGAGGAGAAGCUACCUUGGCAGCAGCUGAGGCAGAAGGCCUUUCACUUGUUUCUUGGAUCUCCACUCCACAGAAAUGCAGAAUCACUACCAAUGGGUGCAAUUAGCCUGGGAUGGGGAGGCUGAGUUGUGGGCCUGAGCCUGGGGAACUCUGCCUGGUGGCAAGCAGGGUACCAAGGAAAUGGGGCAGGCUCUUGGAGGAGGCAGACUGGCUUCUUCUUCUCCUUAGGGCAACUGCAACUGCAACUUUUGGGUAAAGCACUUAUAGUCUUUGUUCUUUCCCCAGUCUGAGGGCAGCAAGGGCAGUACCACUGCAGCAGCAGUAGCAGAGGGGCUUUUAGUUGCUGCUAGGUGCCCCUCCCCUAGGGAAACACAGAGCCACUAGCAGUGGAACGGUCAGCUCUGGGUGAGGUGGCUGUUCUGUAGUCCCAAGCUGAGGCUCCUACCUGCUGAAGACUGGGUAGGGACUCACAGGGGAUAGAGACUGAAUUCCUCUCCAUAUGGUGGCUGCAGCAUGCUAGAUAUCCUGGCAUAGCAACCAGGCCCUUUGUGCUUUCCCCAGCUCAAGGGAUAGUAAGGAUGGUACCACUGCAUUUGCAAUGGUAGAGAGCUGUGGGUUGUCUCUGGGAUUUCCUCCAUAGAGAAAGGCAGAGCCACCAUCCACUGCAGUGUUCAGGCAUGGUUAUGGUGUUUGUGCUGGGAGCCCAGGUUGAGAGGCACUGCCCAGUGAAGAUUAGUGGAGAUAGGACCUGUGUGUAAAACAGUCUGGCUGCUUUUCUGUAAGGCUGCUGUGCUGUGCUGGGGGCCAAUGUUACUUCCUAAUUAUUAUUGCAUUUCCUCCUGAACCUGAGGGCAAUAGGAGUGAGGGCUGCAGAGCAGCAAAAAUGGUGGCCUACCUUUCCCUCUGAGAGCUCUGUCCCAGGAAAGUUCAGAGCUGCUACCAGCUCAAGAGCCCAGGCCCAGUAUGGCUGGCGUCCCAGGUUGGGAGGCCCUGCCCUGUGAGGAAUAGUGGGUUCAGGGACCCACGUGGAAAACUGGCUGCUUUUCCGUCAGGUGGAGUUACAUCACUGGGGGUCCAUGUUAGUCUCCAAUCACUUUGUACCCUCCCAAGCCUAAGGGCAAUAGGGCCGAGGGUUGCAGAGCAGCAAAAAUGUCAGCCUGCCCCUUCCUCUGGGACCUCCAUCUCAGCGAAGUGGAGAGCUGCUCCCAGCCCAAGAACUCAAACAGGGUUGGGGCAACCUCGUUAGCAUCCCAGGCCAGUGAGCUGUAUCCUGCCCUGCGAGUUGCAGUGGAGGUGAGGCCUGCAGUCCCUCAUUGCUCAGCCUUGUAGAUUCAGGCCCUUUCCUGGGAGCCUGCAAAGGAGCCUGGCCUCCCCCAUUGCCAGAACUGCAGCUACUGGUGUUGGGGUGCUGGAGAAUCCAAGGCUCCUGCGACUCUGCUUGUGCCUGUGUGGCUUGGUCUGCUCAGACUCCCCACAGCACUUCCUGUGGGUGUGGAGACUCCUGUGUUGGGAAAUCACAGGGAAUGUCCUGAGCCCAGGGAUGUAAAGGCUGUAGCAGAAGUAUGAGUCCCUGCAGACUGUCACUCAGUCACUCAUCAUUUCCCCACAGUGUGGGGGUCUCCUCUAGCUCCAUGCCAGUUCCAGGUAGGCAGUUGUCCUAUCUUGCUCUUCUCUGUUCUCUGUGGGUAACAUUGUUUCCUUGAUGAAUCCCAAUGUGUCCACCUGGAUGUUCUAGUUGAAGAGCUAGUGUUACUUGUUACUUUUCCUUCUUUCCAUGAGAGCAGCACACACUAGCUGCUUCUAGUCAGCCAUCUUGGCCCCAGAACCUGGUUUUCUCAUAUUUUUGACUUGUGAUUUAUGAUGCAAAAGAAGUGUCAGUUUGUGGACACAUCAGAAAUUACAUUAACUGUUUCUGAUAUUUCAUCUCCAAAUAAAAAUCAAACCUGUACUAUCUUUCCACACUUGUUAUUAAUUGAAAUAUUUAAACCUCUCAACUGCUAAAUAGAUCUCUAAAUUAUGUGACUACUGCAAGACCAUGUAAGUGGCUUGGCACUGUUAGAUGGGGUGCUUUAUUACAACCUAAUGAAUUAAGUGUACUAAAUUUUUAAUCAUUAAUUUCUAGUAUCAAAAUGGUGAGUAUAAGGUGUGAAGUUUUAUUUAAUGACUUAAUUUUGAGUCUUAGUUCCAGGAAAGACUUCUAAAUUAGAAUUCACCCUAGGAUAAUUACAAUUGUAUUUGCAAAUUGGAAGCAUUACAGAAUUCAUUAAAAACAUUUUAUUUAGAAAACACCCCUGCUGCUUAUGGCAAUAACUUUUUUACAUGAUUAAGUGUCCAUGUGAGACAGCCUUUAAAAAUUAUGUAUAUCCAUGCAAUUUAUAAGCUUUAAUUAAAAAAUCAAUAAUGAAUGUAGACAUUUGCUUGCUUCCCCUUUACCUUCUGCCAUGAUUUUAAGUUUCCUGAGGCCUUUUCAGCCAUGCUGAACUGUGCAUCAAUUAAACCUCUUUCCAGUUACCCAGUCUUGGGCAGUUCUUUAUAGCAGUAUGAAAACGGACACAUACAGUAAAUUGGUACUGCAGAGACUGGGGUGCUGCUAUAAAGAUAUCUGAAAAUGUGGAAGAGACUUUGGAACUGGCUAACAGGUACAGGUUGAAAUGGUUUGGAGGGCUCAGAGGAAGACAGGAAGAUAUGGGAAAGCUUGGAACUUCCUGGAGACUUGUUGAAUGGCUUUGACCAAAAUGCUGAUAAUGAUGUGGACAAUGAAAUCUAGGCUGAACUGGUCUCAGAUGGAGAUGAGGUACUUGUUGGGAACUGGAAUAAAGGUUUUCCUUGCUAUGCUUUAGCAAAGAGACUAGCAGCAUUUUGCCCCUGCCCUAGAGAUCUGUGAAACUUUGAACUUGAGAGAGAUGAUUUAGGGUACCUGGUGGAAGAAAUUUCUAAGCAGCAAAAUGUUCAAGAUGUGACUUUGGUGCUCUUAAAAGCAUUCAUUUUUAUGCAUUCAUAAAGAGAUGGUUUGGAGUUGAAACUUAUGUUUAAAUGGGAAGCAGAGCAUAGAAGUUUGGAAAAUUUGCAGCCUGAUGAUGUGGUAGAAAAGAAAAACCCAUUUUCUGAGGAGAAAGUCAAGCCAGCUACAGAAAUUUGCAUAAGUAACAAGGAGCCAAAUGUUAAUCACCAAGACAAUGCAAAAAAUGUCUCCAGGGAAUGUCAGAGGACUUCACAGCAGACCUUCCCAUCAGAAGCCCAGAGGCCUAGGAGGAAAAAUGGUUUCAUGGGACAGGCCCAGUGCCUUGGGCAGUCUCGUGACUUGGUGCCCUGCGUGAAUCACAAAAAUCACUAAUGUAUGUAGACAUUUGUCUGUCUAAUGUGUAUUUAGUUCAUUGAUAUUUUUACAUUUAUUGGAUGUAUUUUUAAUGUUUUUUUCCUCUAUUCACUUAUUUAGACUGCUAGCCAACUGGGUUAGGACUAGGCUAUCACAUCAUUCUUUGACCUGUGUCACUUGGUCUGACCUUUCUGAAAACCAAGAGUUUGUUCCAGAUAAACCCAAGAAACUAGUGAAUUAUUCUCCAGAAAUGAGAAAUAGAGAUGACAGAUACAAGUUCCCUAAUUUUCCUAUUAGUGCCCAAUUUUUCUUACUUCAAAUAAAAAUAUUAUAAAUACAUGAAAAUGUAAUCACAAUGAACUUUUACUAUUUCAGUGAUAUGAGUAAUAUCAGUGUCAGGAAACACCAAAGAUCUUGUAGAACUACUGAGUGUCUGAUGAAAGGAUUGCUUGGUGAUAUAACCCUUACAUGUCAAGGGAGAGACCAGGUGGAGGUAAUUGGAUCAUGGGAGCCUGAGCUGUACAUUGGCCCCUUUUAGCCAAUGUAAAGAGCUUCAGAGGGUGCAAGCCCCAAGCCUUGGCAGCUUUCAUGUGGUGUUGGGGCUGUGGGUGCACAGAAGUCAAGAAUUGAGGUUUGGGAACCUCUGACUAGAUUUCGGAGGACCUAUAGAAACACCUGAAUGUCCAGGCACAGGUGUGCUGCAGUAGCACAGCCCUCAUGGAGGACCUCUGCUAGGACAGUUUGGAAGGGAAGCUUGGGGUCAGAGCCCCCACACGGAGUCCCCACUGGGGCACUGCCUAGUGGAGCCAUGAGAAGAGGGCCACCAAUCCAGACCCCAAAGUGGUAGAUCCACAAACAGCUUGCACUUUAUGCCUGGAAAAGCCACUGAAUGCCAGCCUGUGAAAGCAGCUGGAUUAGGGGGUUGUACCCUGCAAAGCCACAGAGGUGGAGCUGCCCAAGACCAUCAAAGCCUACCUCUUACAUCAGUGUGACCUAGAUGUGAGACAUGGAGUCAAAGGAGAGAAUUUUGGAGCUUUAAGAAUUGACUGCCGUGCUGGAUUUCAGACUUGCAUGGGGUCUGCAGCCCCUUCAUUUUGGCCAGUUUCUCCCAUUUAGAAUGGCUGUAUUUACCCAAUGCCUGUAACCUCAUUGUAUCUAGGAAGUAAUUAAAUUGCUUUUGAUUUUAUAGGCUUAUAGGUGGAAGGGACUUGCCUUGUCUCAGAUGAGAUCUUGGACUCAUACUUUUGAGUUAAUAUUGGAAUGAAUUAAGACUUUGGGUGACUGUUGAGAAGGCAUGAUUACUUUUGAAAUGUGAAAGCGACAUGAGAUUUGGGAGGGGCCAGGGGCAGAAUGAUAUGGCUUUGUGUCCCCACACAAAUCUCAUCUUGAUUUAUAAUCCCCAUAAUCCUUAUAAUCCCCUCACGUCAAGGGAGAGACCAGAUGGAGAUAAUUGAAUCAUGGGGGUGGCAUCCCCCAUGCUGUUCACAUGAUAGUGAGUUCUCACAAGAUCUGAUGGUUUUAUAAGGGGCUCUUCCCCUUUUGCUGGGCACUUCUCCUUCCUGCCACCUUGUGAAGAAGGUGCUUUGCUUCCCCUUUGCCUUCUGCCAUGAUUGUUUUCCUGAGGUCUUCCCAGCCAUGCUGAACUGUGAGUCAACUAAACCUCUUUUCUUUAUAAAUUACCCAGUCUCUGGCAGUUCUUUAUAGCAUUAUGAAAAUGGACUAAUACACUUGGGCAACUGACAUUAAAGCACUGGGUUUGGAAGAUAUUACAUUUCACUAUCAUGAAUGUGUAAGACAUUUAUCCAGUAUCCCUCUUGAAUCUGAUUUUAAUUUAGGCAUCAAAAAUUUUGACAAGUAAGGUGCUCAAGUCUGAAUGUUUUGUUUUGAAUAUAUAUAUUUAUAUGUAUUUUAUAUAUA